UCAUCUUUUGUACUUUCUAUGAAUACCAC
rnacentral:sRNA from 1 species